rnacentral:rRNA from 1 species
AUGUCAAUGCCACUAUUAACCAAAUCAGCCUUACUGAGGAACAACGCAAGGAGGCAGCAACAAGCUAUGAUCCAUGGCCAAUUAGGACACCUUCGAACUCUCUCAGUUCAGAUGGGCCCUAUCUCUCCGCCUAGACAUGAUCGCUUCCAGUACAUGGGUUUGGAUGAUUGUCAUAGCCCAUAUGGCACCGCAGGUCAGGCCCUAGUGGAAAAUCAAGAUAACACUAGCUCCACUCACCAAGGUGUUCCGAUGGAUCUUCUCAUUGGUCAGCAAGCAGAUAACAAGGGGACUAGCAACAUGGAAAUUGGCAAUCAAGGAGAGGAUGGCAAGGAUAACUCGUUUUCUUGGGCAGCGGCGCAUGGCCCUAACGCGCCUCAUGUGACAUGA